UUUCCAUGGUUCUUUCACAGACACCCUUAUCCAUUAUGUAAAUGCCCCUCUCCUUCGGGAUGGAGAUACAAAAAAAAAUUAUUCUUUACAUUUUCAGAUCUUCUUUCUCUCUUGUAUUUCAGCCACCACUCCCACCAUCAUCGUCGCUGCCAACAUCACCACUACCAAAAUCGACCGAACAAUACUCCGCCGCCAUCAUCUCCAUCGCCACCACCAUCAUCUCCAUCUCCACCACCAAUAUUUGUUUCUUUUUUCUUCCAGUGAGAUUCGAGAGAGAGAGAGAGAGAGAUUUGAAUGUUUCGAGUCAAAUCAUCAACUAAUUUUUCAAUGAAUUUUGAAAUCACUAGAAGAAGCAGCAGAAUAUGAUAAACUAUGGGUUGAAUCUUGAAAGGUGAAAAAAUUUCAGAUUGUUAUGGUUCUUCUAAGAUUAGUUUGUGUUGAUUCACAACCACUUAAUCAUUUUAUACCCAUUAUUACCACCAGUAGCAGCACGGUUUCAUUGACAAAUUAAGAAAAAUAAACUUUCUUCGGAAAAAUCAGUUAAAGAUUCAACUGAAAUCGUCAUCAUCUUCUUCUUUUCUAUUUCUAGAGGGAUUUCCAAGUCCAAGUUAAAGAUUUGUGGAGACCGAGAGAUUUCAUUUUGAGUUUCGAAUUCUGGUAAUAUCGGUGUUAGAGGUACUAAUACUGUUGAUUGGUGAAUAUUGCAGCAUGGCUGAAGUUUGGGAGUGGCAGAAGAACCUGAAAAGUACCAAUUAAGGUAUAAUGAAAAACCAGAUUGGCGGUGUUAUUGCCAUUGGUGAUGACAGAGGAGUUGGAGGUGAUGCUGGUUGAAUUGGAGGAUUUAGGUGUGGAGCAUGAGAUGCAUUUGUGUUGGUUGUGGAAGACAUAUUAGAUGAACUUGCGAUGCUCCAUCAGUACUCAAUGCACAUUUUAUUGCUUGUGCUUUUGGUGCUUAUACUCUGUUUUCUCAUAAUAAUUAAUUGCAAAGAAACAAUUAUGCAUACCUAUUUGUUGUCGCUCUAUAAUGUCUAUUGUGUUAGUUGCAA